GCCCACUUGUCCCAUCCACCAAAUCCCUCCGCCGCCACCAGUCCACUACAUCUUCCUCAGGAUCCCCUUCUCCUCGUCUUCCUCCACCCACCAACAGGAGCCCGAGAUCUUUCUCCACGACCCCGAGCACUUGAUCCACCGGACCAACCACCUUCUCCUCUUAAUCCAUGGCCACCUCCUACUCGAGCAACCAGCGCCCCGCUGUUUUCUCUCCCCUGUCCGAUCUGGAGGAGAGGAGCUCCUCCAGGCCCCACCUAGCGUGAUAGUCGCCGGUCACCCAAGCAGCAGCAGAUGAGCAUCACGGCCCUCCUCUUCCUCAUGUUUUCUCCUUGUCCUCGUGUAUCCUCCUCCAUCUCUCAACUCCCCUCCUUUGCUUCUUACCGCAAGAACCGGUUGCAGCUGUCGAACACCAUGGAUUCGCGCCAAGAGCUCUUAUGGUCACCGUGACCUCGCCGUCAGGAUCCGCUUCCUCCUGCGACCCUCCAGCCACCCGCCACAACCUUCGUCAUGCCCGCGAGCUUCGCCUGCACCUCGCCUCCCCGACAUGAACUGUCCCGAUCCGACCAUCUCCGGUGGCCUCCUCAUCGUCGCGGCCUAGGCAAACUACAGACCCACCGUGACCUCGCCCGCGCCUCCCUUUACCUCUCCCCUUUCCCUCUUUGGUCCUCUCUCUCGCUCACGAUCUCUCUGCCUCUCACCUUGCUUCCCUGCAGGAACCGAACAACACCGCUGCCUCCCCUGCCGACUUGAAUCCGCCGGAUCCGGUGACUCUUGCCGCCGCCACCAAGAACCUUGCCGGGGAACGACGUUCCGCCCCUGGACCCGCUCGUUUCAGCCGCCGCUGCCGCUCUGAACCUCGCGCCCCGCUGCUGACUGCUUCGUUUCAAUCGAGGACGAGCGGUCCCUCUUCGUCGUGUUGACCGCACAAGACCAGUGCCUGGGCCGUGUCUCGCGUGAGGUCCACCAACCGGCCCGGCUGCCAGGCCCAGCGGCGCUCGGCCUGCCAAGCCUCUUCCCUGACUGGGCCUCAACCCGAUGUUAGCAGCCCUGCUCCAUGUGCACUGUUGGGCUGACCAGAUUUGGCCCGUUUCAUUUUUUUUCCACAAAACGAAUUUCCUAUUUAUUCCAGAGUUGGCAGUUUUACAGAAUAACCCCUAAGCCUCAUGCAUAUUGUAACUCUCAAACCGUGCAUCACUUGUAAAUAACUUAUAUAUGAAAAUGGUUAUAAUUUUGUGUAUAUUCAUAAUAUCCAACUUUCAUCCAUAUUUAAAAUGUUUAAAAUGAUGUUUGCACAUAUUUUGCCUAUUAUCUUGUUAAAAUGAUUUAAUUCAUAACUAAAUAACCGUAACUCGAAAUGUAAUAAGCUUUAUAUGUAAAUGGGGUGGAAAAUGCCUAGUUUAACGUGGUGGCUUUACUUUGCAUGUUUAACAACUAUAAAAUAUGGUUUAGGAUUGAACAGUACCAUAACCAAAAUAUGCACAUGAGGAGUUUCCGGACUUGUUGUUUGUCAUUUCGGCCUCAUUUAAACUUGCCUAGAUAGGUAGUUUUCAUUUGCUUCACCCUCUUGCCAUGUUUAACAACAUUUAAUAUUGUUGUGUACAUAAAAGAGAUCGAACUAAAUAACUUGAACGUGGUGUUUCGUCAAUAUGCAAUGGAGUUGCAUAUUGAGCUCCACUUAAUUUGUAGGAUUGCUUGUGCACUUUGCCAUGCCAUGCCCUCUUUAAACCGGACAUGCAUCAUACUUGUUUGUGCUUCAUGCCAUGUCUAUGUGGUGGUUGUUUACUAUGUUGUUUGCUUCUUUUCGGUGUGCUUCUUUGGGUUUUUCCGAUAACGUCGCGUUUGUGAGGAUCCGUUCGACUACGUCCAUUUGUCUUCUUCAUGGACUCGUUCUUCUUCCUUGCGGGAUCUCAGGCAAGAUGAUCAUACCCUCGAAAUCACUUCUAUCUUUGCUUGCUAGUUGCUCACUCUUUUGCUAUGCCUAUGCCGCGAUACCUACCACUUGCUUAUCAUGCCUCCCAUAUUGUUGAGCCAAGCCUCUAACCCACCUUGUCCUAGCAAACCGUUGUUUGGCUAUGUUACCGCUUUUCUCAGCCCCUCUUAUAGCCUUGUUAGUUGCAGGUGAAGAUUGGAGUUUGUUCCAUGUUGGAACAUAGAUAUUUUGUUGGGAUCACAAUAUCUCUUAUUUAAUUAAUGCAUCUAUAUACUUGGUAAAGGGUGGAAGGCUCGGCCUUAUGCCUGGUGUUUUGUUCCACUCUUGCCGCCCUAGUUUCCGUCAUAUCGGUGUUAUGUUCCAGGAUUUUGCGUUCCUUACGCGGUUGGGUUAUAAUGGGAACCCCUUGACAGUUCGCCUUGAAUAAAACUCCUCCAGCAUGGCCCAACAUUGGUUUUACCAUUCGCCACCUAGCCUUUUUCUUUCCCUUGGGUUCUGUAGACUCAAGGGUCGUCUUUAUUUUAAACCCCCGGGCCAGUGCUCCUCUGAGUGUUGGUCCAAACAGAGCGAUGUCCAGAGCUACCAGGGGCAACCCUGGGCUGGCCCACCCGACGUCUGGCUCAUCUGGUGUGCCCUGAGAACGAGAUAUGUGCAGCUCCUAUCGGGAUUUGUCGGCACAUCUAGGUGGCUUUGCUGGUCUUGUUUUACCAUUGUCGAAAUGUCUUGUAACCGGGAUUCCGAGUCUGAUCGGGUCUUCCCGCUAGAAGGAAUAUCCUUCGUUGACCGUGAGAGCUUGUGAUGGGCUAAGUUGGGACACCCCUGCAGGGAUUUGAACUUUCGAAAGCCGUGCCCGCGGUUAUGGGUAGAUGGGAAUUUGUUAAUGUCCAAUUGUAGAAAACCUGAAGUUAAUCUUAAUUAAAAUGCAUCAACCGCGUGUGUAACCGUGAUGGUCUCUUCUCGGCGGAAUCCGGGAAGUGAACACGGUAUUGGAGUUAUGCUUGACGUAGGUUGUUCUAGGAUCACUUCUUGAUCAUAGUUGUUCGACCGUGCUUUUGCCUUCUCUUCUCGCUCUCAUUUGCAUAUGUUAGCCACCAUAUAUGCUAGUCACUUGCUACAGCUCCACCUCAUACCUUUUACCCUUCCUAUAAGCUUAAAUAGUCUUGAUCACGAGGGUGCGAGAUUACUGAGUCCCAGUGACUCACAGAUACUUCCAAAACCAGUUUGCAGGUGCCGAUGUUACCGAGCAAGUGACGCAACCGAGCUCAAGGAGGAGCUCGAGGAAGAUCUUGUCCUUUAUGUUGUUUCGUUCUAGUUGAUCAGUAGUGGAGCCCAGUUGGGGUCGAUCGGGGAUCUGUGUAGCAUUUGGGGUAGUCUUCUUUUAUUUUGGUUCCAUAGUCGGACCUUGAUUGUAUCUGGAUGAUGUAAUGCUUUAUUCAUGUAAUUGUGUGAAGUGGCGAUUGUAAGCCAACUAUGUAUCCUUUUCCCUUAUGUAUUACAGGGUUGUGUGAAGAUUACCUCACUUGCGACAUUGCUUUCAAUGUGGUUAUGCCUCUAAGUCGUGCUUCGACACGUGGGAGAUAUAGCCGCAUCGAGGGCGUUACAAGUUGGUAAUCAGAGCCUUCCCCGACCUUAGGAGCCCCCCUGCUUGAUCGAAUUAGCUGACGUUGUUGAGUCUAGAAAAGUGUUUUGAGUCAUUUAGGAUUAUAUAUAUCGGAGAGUUAGGAAUUCUUUUUACUCCUCAGUCCCUUUGUCGCUCUGGUGAGACAUCCUGACGUAGAGUUUUGACUCUUCUCUUCUCAAAUUUCACUAAAAAAAUUUAGGAUCACGCGGGUAUCUUGGAAUCGUUCCGAUGGUUUUGUGACGAGAACAUUGUUCUUGGUGCCUCCUGACAUUUAGGGGUUGUGGCAGUGUCCCGGGGAGUUGAGCUCCGAGGUGUUGUCAUCACAAUUUUAUCGUUGCAGUUCUGGAAUACCUGAGUUUAGUUUCGCCGACAUAGAAAAUCUCUUUUAUGCAGUUGUUGGUGAGAUAACCUCGACGCCACCCACUACUGGGGCGGGAGUUCGGGAGUAUCGCCAUAACUCGUAGAACGGAUGCUUUGCGAAGGUUGAGGUAAACAAUUUCCGAAGGUUUCUUGGUUAUGUGUUGAAGGAUGGAUACAGCUGGAUGUAGGAUUUGCUAGAUUUAGGUGAGAUAUUAUGCUUCCCCUGUAUCCCCAACACCUGAUUGCAUAACCAGAAAAUUUCGGGAGUUUAUAAGUGGGAAUUCAAGUAGCUCUUAGGAUAUCUUUCCGACAGAUGUAUGAUAUGAAAUUGGGGUUCGACGUCUAGUGGUCCGCCUAUCCACGGUUGGUUUUACAGUGGUCUCAUUGUGUCUUAAAGAGUCCUUGGCUAUGCCGACUCGGGGACGCUUUGUAUGUCAUGUGCAUUGCCUUGUACGUGAUGGUGUUGUACGAUCGAGCCCGUGUAGGCCCCACCACGAAAACUUCGGACGAAAUCUCUAUCAUAUGUUUGUUCUGGCUUAUUCCGCAAGCCAAUCCUUUGUUUUGUUUUGAGUUGUGAAAUUCGAGUUGCUUCAAUGUCAAGUGUUGAUUCCAUGCCUUUUCCUAAUUGAUGUUCUCAUAUUCCUAUGUGAAUAUUAAUCCUUCAUGAUAAUCGAGAUUGUCAUGUCAAUCGUUUCAACCGGUACGAUUCUCUUCAAGAUGAUCCUAUCAUUUUUCCUAUUUGCAAGAUCCAAUCUCAGUUCUUCCCAACGGUGUUUGUUUUCAUCCAUCCCAAGUUCCUUUGUUUUUCCCGCCCACCCACCCUUGUUUCUUCAAGGACUCGGAUUUCUUUAUCAAGUAUCCAUCUUAUGGAUGUGAAUCCUCUUUACUCCUCUCUUUCAAUGUUCUUAUCCGGUGAUUCUCAUGAAGAUCCUAACGGAACCUCAAGUUCAUCAUUCUUCGUUCCUUUUCUUCUUCGGUGGAUUCAAUUCUAGCUUUGUCGAUCAUAUCAUUUCCUCGUUUCAAAUUCUUUCUUAUGCCGGUGCACUUUUUAAUUAUCCACCUCUCGUUUACCAUUUGUUCCGUUGUACUGAAGAUAUCUCGGAAGAUUAGUGCUUCUAUUCUUGAUCAAUCCAAUCUAUUUUCGAGGUCUUACCUUAUUCAAGCCAUUUAAUUCAACAAGUGCUUUCUCUCUUUUAAAUCGUUCUACGGUGUAUCUUCUGAGUGGGCUCUAACCCACAGGUCUUUUCACAGGAUCUUACCUGGCUCUUCUUAUUUUUUUCUGGAGCUUCUCAAAUUCUUUUCUAAAGUUUGACGUAAGAAUGAUUUAUCAUCAAUCAAAUGUAUUUAUCCAAGAUCUGUCAAAUUCUUUUCAUCGUUGGCUCAACCUUUCUAAUUUUUCAUUCCGGAGUGCCUCAACAAUUCUUGGUGUUGUUUCUCGUUGUCAUUCUCAGAUUUUGAACACCGAAGAAGAGUUUUUCCUCCAUAUCUUAUCCGUUCUCUCAAAAAUUCGUCAUUCUAGCUUGUUGCCAUCUUCUCAUAGUUGUUUUUGGAUUGUGAGAAUUUUUUUCACCUAUCCGGAGCAAAUGCAGGAGUAUUUUUAGUUUGAUCAUCCGGAGCCCAUCAUCUCAGAUUUAUUCAUUUCAACUGGCAGCUCACAUUCUCCAAAUCUUACCGGUGCAUCGUUCGAAUAUCCUCUAUUCUGUUCAUGAUCUCUUCGUUCUCAUGGAUCUAAACCCUCUCAUGUAUCUUCAUUCAUUUGCUAUUUUUUCCCAGUGUUUCCUUAUCUUUACUUUGUUCAUUUUCAAUCCUACUGGUGCUUCAUUGAAGACCUUGUCAAGUUAUCGAUAUCUCUCCUAAUCUUUUCUACGAGAAUAAGUAAUAUGCCAAAUCCUUUGAUUGUCAUCAAUUUAAUUGGUGAAGGAUAAGCAUAAUGUAUUUCUUAUUCUGGUUUCAUCGAGUGAUUAAUUCCCUAUUCCGUAGGUUCAUCAAAUUCUCGUUUCAAGUUGUCCAUCUUUCUUUCCAGAGCUCAAAGUUAUUUCAAUUAUUUCAUCGCGAAGAUCCAUCUAAAGCAUUACAAGGUUUCACCUUGUGUUUUCAACUUCCCUUUCUUCUCGUUAUCCUUUUGUUAGCGGAGUUCUCAUGAAGGCUGAACAUGGUGGUUCAUCAAGGAUUUAAUUUCCUUCUCGAAGUGUUCAUCAACAUUCUUUUCAGAGGAGCUCAUGCAUUCUUUAUCUUGCAAUCCAUAGUGGAAUUGUGUCUCCCUUAUCUUUUGAGGUGGUAAUAUAUCAUUCUUCAAGAAUGAGAUAUUUAAACCCAUCAAUCUCUUCGUUGGAUUUAUCUUGUGUCAUGUUUCACCUAAAUCUUUCUCUAAGGAUUGUUGCUAUUAUGGUGCUUAUAAAUGACCCAAGUUCUUCUUUUAUCCUUCCGGCGAAUAAGCUUUCUUGUCUCCUUGUUCAUAUCAAUCCAAUUCUUCUUCCCGUGAGUGGCAGGUUGUCACCUCAUAAUUUGAGAUGUAUUCCAUAAGACCAUAUCAAGCGUAUUCUUUUCGUUGUUGGUUUUUCCAACAACUCCGUUUGACCCUUCUCCAAAAGAUGCCUUUCAAGCUCUGUUGUGACAGAAGUCGGCAUUUUUUUUCUCCAUUCUUUUCUUUCAAUUAUCUAUCUUCUAUUUCUUUCUUAUGGAGGCCUUGUGAUGUUGCUCUUUUCAAUCAUCAUCUUGAAUUGUGGAGAUCAUGUUCUUUUCGUGGUUAUCCAUUUAACCGGAGUGUGUGCCCGCUGCUCAAGUUCUUUCAUUUUAUCAAGUCUUGCAUCCCUUCUCAACCGGAGUGAUGUUCGAAUUUGUUCUUCCUUGUUCCUCUUUCUUAACGGAGUGCUUUCAACUUUGUUCUUCUCUGUUGUAUUCUUUCUUUCAAUUUGUUUAACCUUUUCAAGGUUCUUUGGUUUCACUCGUUUGUCAAAGAAGCAACUUAGUUUUACCGCUGCUCUUCCUCUUCCUUUUUUCCCUCCAGUGCCAUUCUAGAUCUCGGGACGAGAUCCUCUCAUAGUAGUGGAGUGUUGUGACGCCCCGAGACCGAUGUGCCAGGUGUCUUCCUGUUAUUAGUUGUCGUUUCCAUGUCUUUGCUUGCGUGUCGAAUCUUGUCAUGUCAUCAUAUGCAUUGCAUCAUCAUGUUUUCGAAACUUGGAUGCGUCCCGGCCUCCUCGUUCUCCCCGUUGCCUGUUCUGAGCCCAGACACACUUGCACGUGCCCGCGGCAUGUCCGAAAUAUUAUUUUAUAAGUGGCCGGAAAAUGUUCUCGGAAUGGGUUGAAAGUAGGCGUGCGGUCUUAUUAUAGUGUAGAUAGACCGCUUGUCAAGUUUCAUUGCAUUCAGAGUUCGUUUGAUAGCCCAACCGUUAAACUAUAGCGACAAUAUAGUCGGUCAAAUCGUCGGACGUUUCAGUCUCCGAAACAGUCGCCGGGUCUCUCUCUCUUUUCUCUCCCCUCAGCCCGAGGCCUCUCAGCAACCCACCUACAACACACUUGACCUCAUUCGCCUAACCCCUCUUUGCACAGUGCAUCGACCUCCUCGCGCGCGCGUCCGAAAGCUGUCCCGGACCCGACCUGGGUAGUCGUUACCAUUGUGUCCGGAUCAUCCCCAAACAUCUACAAAACAUCUCCUUUUUUCUUUUUUGGACACCCAUAGCAUUUUAUCUUGACCGUCCGAUUUCGAUCGGAUGAUCCAAACUCCCUCCUUUCCUUAUAUAUAUAUAGCAUCCCCUAACCUAAUCUAGUCUAACCCUAAAAUCUAGCCCACUUGUCCCAUCCACCAAAUCCCUCCGCUGCCACCAGUCCACUACAUCUUCCUCGGGAUCCCCUUCUCCUCGUCUUCCUCCACCACCAACAGGAGCCCGAGCUCAUUCUCCACGACCCCGAGCACUAGAUCCACCGGACCAACCACCUUCUCCUCUUGAUCCAUGGCCACCUCCUACUCGAGCAACCAGCGCCCCGCUGUUUUCUCUCCCCUGUCCGAUCUGGAGGAGAGGAGCUCCUCC
rnacentral:lncRNA from 1 species